rnacentral:tRNA from 1 species
AUUUAAAUAGUUUAAUUAAAAUAUUGAUUUGUGGUGUCAGUGAUAUGAAUUUUAUUCAUUUUAAAUC